rnacentral:lncRNA from 1 species
CCAACUCUCCGCACUGUUUCGUUUCCACAGAAAUAUCGUCCGCUUCGAACCAGCUUGGUUGGGCUGUUGGGGGCAGCCAUGGGAUGCACGGAUUCGGUCUUCGGCAUUUGGGGCCGUCGAUUUCCAUUUGGGCUGGCGCCUUGCGAAUCUCACCGUCCGUUUGGUCUUCAUCGCAUCUCAUCUGUUCAUUCAUUGGUUCAACCAUCUUUCAUCCUCUGUCCAACGUUCGUCUAAAGAUUUUCGAUCUGCGAGUUCUUCCAUUGCUGAUGGGUUUCUGAGCAUACUGUUGAAUCCUCGAUUCCUUGCCCAAAUUGAUUCCAUAGUUUUUAUUCUUUGAGUUUAGCAUUGAUGCUGCGUUUUUGGUGGUGUAGGGUUAUGAGAGAGAAUUUUCAAAUCUUUGAUGACAACGACAAUGCAGAGAUAGUUGUUUUGUGAUUUUGAUUGUUUAGAGGGUGACUUUUGCAUAGGUAACUCCAUUUCCUUUUAUUGUUAAAAUUUAUGCUUUUAGUGAAUUUAAGGGUGAGAUAUGCAAUUGCAAUUGUGCUUGGCAAAUUUAAACUUCAGAUAUGCAAUUGCUCAUAUUUGACUUUCUGAUAUUGCUACGUAUAGGGUGAUUUAAAUUUUUUCUCCUAAAUUUGAACUGUAUUGUUCUAUUGCUGAUAACCUCCAUUUGUGUCUUCUAUUGUCUCCAUUCCACAUUUCUUUUCUCUGUAGGAAGUAUUGAAGGAUGUGUCGACUUGGGAGAGAAGAAUUAUAAGUGCAUUUACUGUGGUGCACUUUUUUGGUUAAAAGAAUCCAUUCAGCAGGUACAAGAACUUGACAGUGUGCAAGCCUGAACUAAUCUUUUGUCGUGUUUUUUGGCCGGUUGAUUGAUAUUUAGCAAAUGCAUAUAAAACACAAAUUUAAAAGUUCAUUUUUUUGCUUGGUCAUUAAAGCAAGAAGAAGCGUGUAAGCAAGCAACUGCCCAAAUAUAUCUCUCUCUCUCUCUCUCUCGAUUUUGCAAGGAUCUCCUAAAUACUUGGAGAAGACUGAGAAUUCCACAAAGCAUCGCAACUCUAACGACACUUGGCUGCUCACUUUAAAGGUAACCCAAAACAAUUAAGAAAUUUGUUCUUCUUUUGCCAUAAAUCUUUGUGUUUCCUUUAGAGUUGUGCAGGAAAGCUACUGGUUGCUAAUUUUGUUUAGUCUUUUUUCUCAAGUUAUAAUAAAUAUCUUAACCAGUUUUUGGGUGUUUACUAAAGUUCAUGAUUGGUAAUUGAUAUUAAGUUCUGUUCAUAUCAGUUUAUGCUUUGUGUGUGUGUGUGUGUGUGUCGAGGAAAAGUUGGAAGCAUGAAAGCUACAUACAACAUGUGAUUUGCAAAUUAUUCUUAUUCAUUUUCUCAAUUAGUCUCAUGCAAUAAAAGGUAAAGUCAAAUUGUUGUUGAAUCCCUAGUCUCAUGCAAUAAAAGGUAAAGUCAAAUUGUUGUUGAAUCCCUGUUUUGAUUGGUCAGAACAGUUUGUGGGUAUGGAAGUACUCUCAUACAGUUCUGCACCAUGCUAUGAUACUUUUAAUUUAAGGUGGAAAUUGAUUGUGAAAAGCUCAAGUUCACAUCAAUUCAGUCUCCUAGGUUUUAGAAAAAACAGAGUUUUUGGUGCUAAAUUUGAUGUUAGAAAGAAGUUUUUGAGCUGUUACAAUUUAGAUCAGCCUUUCUUGAAGCAACUAAAUCACCAAGGAGGUUUUAGGUCAUUAGACACCGGUGAAAACUUCAAACAUGUUGGUCCAAUUUUAUCAAGUGGAAGCUCUGAUGGCUACGUAAUUAAAAGGGAAGAGAAUGAAAGUAUUUCAGAAACAGGGGAACCAGUAACUAAAGUUUUGAUUCCUGGUCUACCAGAUGAAUCCAAAGGUGAAUCAGGUGCGCCAGUAAAUAGUUGCUUUUGGGAAUGGAAGCCCGAAUUCAGUGUGCAUUAUGAGAAAGCUGGAUGUGAAACCUUAGGCUCCCUUCCAGUGCUGUUUCUGCCUGGUUUUGGGGUUGGUUCCUUUCACUAUGAGAAGCAACUGAAGGAGUUGGGGCUUGAUUUUAGAGUACGGGCUAAGCAGCUGAAUGGAUGGUGUGUAUAUCUAUAUUUGGAUGGUAUGUACUUGGAUUCAUUGAAACAAUUGAGAUUGAGUGCUUAUAUCUUAGCAGCUGACUUUGAGCCUUAAAAUUUUCAGAUAUUUAUGAUGACCCAUUCUUGGGCCCAUUGCAAUAAUUGAGAUUUGAGUGCUUAGGUCUAAGCAGCUGAAUUUGAGUCAUUAAUUUUUCAGAUGUGUAUGAUUUUGAUUGUUCCGUCAGGUUUCUUUAUUAGUUAUUUUCCCCUAAUCACAAUUGUUUCACUUCCAGAAACUAAUGGCAUCAUUCGUUCAUUUUGCAAGAUUGGUGUAUACUAUGGUACUCCACAAGCGACAUUUGGAGGAAUUGCAUUAAAAUUCUUUGCCUCAGUUCGGCUUGAAAUAUGUUCUACAGGGAAGAUAAAGUCUGUAAGAACAAUAGCCAUUGUUUCUUAUUGCAUGACAGCUUUUUGAUGGAUGAGUAUAUUUAUCUCUUAGGUCAUCUAAUAAAGUUUGAUCUAUGUUGUUUGCUCAUAGAACGUACUUCUGUACUGAUUAGGUAAAUGGAGAGGAAGUAAUUGGAGUUCGGGUUCAUGUAAGAGUGCAAAAGAGCAAGGUAAUUUUGAAUGCAUCAAAAUGGAUUCUGUAUCUAUGAGGGUUGUACACCAUGUACAGAAAUAACAUUUCUAUUACUUUUGCCUUUAUGAUUACUUGAGCAGUAAUUGCACUUUCAAUAUAAAUUUCAUAACUGGUAUGAAGUAUGACAAGUUGUCUUGCCAAUUCUUAAAGGUUAUGUCUAAUUUCUCAGAGAUUUUUGUCCCAAUUCUACACUUUGCUAUAAGUGCAGCCUGUGACCAUGAAAACAAUUGUAACAAUCGACAAAUUGUU